rnacentral:rRNA from 1 species
GAUGAACGCUGGCGGCGUGCCUAAUACAUGCAAGUCGAGCGAACGGACGAGAAGCUUGCUUCUCUGAUGUUAGCGGCGGACGGGUGAGUAACACGUGGAUAACCUACCUAUAAGACUGGGAUAACUUCGGGAAACCGGAGCUAAUACCGGAUAAUAUUUUGAACCGCAUGGUUCAAAAGUGAAAGACGGUCUUGCUGUCACUUAUAGAUGGAUCCGCGCUGCAUUAGCUAGUUGGUAAGGUAACGGCUUACCAAGGCAACGAUGCAUAGCCGACCUGAGAGGGUGAUCGGCCACACUGGAACUGAGACACGGUCCAGACUCCUACGGGAGGCAGCAGUAGGGAAUCUUCCGCAAUGGGCGAAAGCAUGACGGAGCAACGCCGCGUGAGUGAUGAAGGUCUUCGGAUCGUAAAACUCUGUUAUUAGGGAAGAACAUAUGUGUAAGUAACUGUGCACAUCUUGACGGUACCUCAUCAGAAAGCCACGGCUAACUACGUG